GAAAGUUUCAGACUAACUACAUGGGGAUGCACCACAAUACUGUACAUGGACCUAAUCAAAAUAUUAGUGUCUUAAGAAGAAAGAGAAAAGCCAUUUGUUUUUUAAAACGAGCUAAUUCUGCUGUCUGAGAAUUAUCUGCGUCUUGCUAGCAUGAAAAGAUAUUUUGGAGAAGCAUUAGAGCAGACAGAGUUAGAAGAAAACCUCUGCUGACAGAUUGUGCUCAGAUCCUGGCUCUGCCAAGCUGCAUGACCCUGGACCAGUCAACAAUCGCUUUGGAGAGGAGAAACAAUUACUUUGUAAACUGAAGCAGCGCACUUAAUGAAGGAAGCAGAGAAGCUGCUGUGGAGGCUUUUUGCUAUCUAAUGUGCUCACGCGGUGCCCCAGUUUCUGCAUCAGUAAAUUAAGAUGAUAAUAACCCCUAGGGUUGUGCAGAAGAUUAGAUGAGUUAAUAUACAGAAAGCAUUUAAACAGUGCCUGGCGCAUCGUAAGCGCAAUGUAUAAUGGUUUGUUUUCAUCACUACUUUGAUCAUUUAUUUUAAAAUAAAAUGUGCAAUACAUUUUGUAUAGUAAGAAAGGCAGAAAUAGUGAAUUUUGGGAUCAAUUUUUGAGACUAGUUCUGAGAUAUUCAUGGCCUUAGCAUCUAAAAUCUCUUUUACAUUCUCCACAAGCUUUCUGAACAUACUUAGUUUGUAAAAUCAGAUUGGACAUUUUACAGGAAUAGCUUUUCUCAUGGAAUUUCAGUACUUUCAGUUCCAUUCUAGCUGGAGUCUAAAAUACUGUUGCAUGCGGAUUUUAAAAUUAUGUGAAAACAACAUGAUCCAAACUUAUUUUUUAUUCAUUUUCAGGAAAAGUAUUGUUGGUUCACGUGUGGAAUAAAAGCAAAGCUAAUAGUUAUUUGAUAUCACUGGAGUAUGAAUCAAUCACCCCCAAAACAGGGCAACAUACAGUGAGCUAUUCCGAUGGCUGGUUGUGAAAAAAAAAAAACCUAGCAAAGCUGUAAAAAUGAUAUAUUAUUUAUUUAAUCAGUGAGUCUAUAAAUCUCAGUUGAGUACUCCCCUAUGCCAGGCAAUAUUCUAGAAAAAGGACACACAGCUCAUGUCCUCCCCAUGGAGCUUACCUACAGGUGUAAGGAGACAGAAAAUAAACAAUAAAACAAACAAAAUUUUUACAGAUUUU
rnacentral:lncRNA from 1 species